CUCAUAUGGCAGCCAUGACACGUCAGAGUACUCGUUACCUGUGUAUUUAAUAUAUAAAUAUGUAUAUUUUAUUUUCCUUUAAAUGUGUGAUAAGGUUAUUAAUUUUUAACAUCUUUACUUCUGUUUAGUCAUAUGGUCUGUGUGGAAUAUCUAACCCGUAUAUUCUUUCUUUUUGAUGUUUCCCUCCUUUUAUGUGUUAAUAUUCGGUAGCUAAAGAAAUUUUUGUUAAUAUAUUUAUUUAGAGUUCUCCAUUUCCAUUGAUGCGUAUUAAUUCCCAUAAAAUGUGCCCUGAGAUGUCUAAUAAAUUGCGUUUCUAUUCUUCUUGUGUGUGUAUGUGUGUGUCGGGAGCAGGUCUCCCUCCUCCACUCUCAAGAGGCCAAAGUCUCCGGGAACGCUUAAAUCUCAAGGCUCUUUCAGAACCUGCCACGGCGUCGCGACGAUUAGCAGGUCUCCCAGGAGCGGCACGGGCGGCCAUAGGGAGACAUCCUUCACGGUGGACCCGCCCACCCUCCUGCGGGAUAGUGACGCCCGUCCGCGCGCCCAGUCUGUCGCCACGAUUGGUAACCAGGCUGUCCAGGAGGAGGCGCUAAGGGCUUGGUCGGUUCCGCGCGAGGUGUCGCCAGGACACACCGUGGUCGGCAGUAACGGAGGUGGGACCGUGGGCGGUGCUGGUGAUGGGCGGCCCAAUGGGUGGGCGACCUUUGUUGGAGACGUGCCUGAGCCGCCCCCGCCGCCCAGGACCUCCACACUCCGGAAGGAGAGGAAAGUCACCAUCUUAGAUCAGACCGUCCACAGGUUAUGAUGAUAUCUUCCCCCCGUCCCUAGGCUGUCUUGCGCUGCAUACCUGAACCUUCCGGUCCUCGCUGCACAGCCCGCCCUCCUCCCCCAGUACAAGUCACACUGCCCUCUCUUCUUAAAUAUCACAAUCCUUCAUGGUAAGAUAAUACUUCACAUGAUAAUCAUGCCCUUCUUACAGAGAUUAGCCUUCCAUCACAGCUCUUCGCUAUUCACCCUUUUCUUUUCCUUAAUAUCACAAUUCACUAUUCUAUCGACGUUUGAAUGAUUCACCCAUCCAUCAGCCUAAACUCACCCCUGCAGCUUUCACCAGCGUGCCAUCCAUCUUAAGCAGCAUCUCUCCUAUUUCCUCCCCUAAAGGCCUAUCGCCAUCUCCCUCUCCUCCAGCUGAUGACCCCCACGACCCGUCAACGACUCUCCACGAUAAAUCUGUCGCUUCUAACAAAGGCCCGAAAAGUCCGCGGCACGGACCCGACUCUUAGUGAUCAUAUACGGAUGUGUACACGGCUUCUGGCUGACGUGUGUGUAUGCAGACAUCACUCGGCCAGCGAUAUUGGUGACCCCGUGAUGCGGCUAUGUGAACACUCUCUGUGGCCACCAUGCGUGUGCUGGCGUGACACAGCUGUGUGUACAGGUCAUAUGAUUGAUGCAUGUGUGCAUCGGUACGCGGGCGAUGCAUUGAUGUCUUCACAAGUUAUUAGGGUUAAUGUUCAAGAGUGGAAAUAAAGUUACAGUGAUGUAUUAUGAACAUAUUCUCUACCGCUUUCAGUGACUAUUCUAGGUGGCGUCUGAACAGAACACCGUACGCAUCAGUUCACUACUCCGAACUGAAUUUGGCCGUGCUGUCUGCCUCGCCGGCGGCCAGUCCUGGGCCAUCACGCACGGUUGAGGACCACUGGUAUGAGAUACGUAAACGAGAUCAGGAAACCAAUUGCGUACUCGGGAUACGAGUAUCCUAUUGCUCUUGGCUGCCGUUCAAAGAUUCUGUAAACUAGUCUCAAACUUCCUUUGAGAAUUUACGUGUUUAGUAAUUCUGACAUAAAAUAAAAAUUAUUUAUUUGUUUUUGUCAAAUGUUUUUAAUUUGUUAUUAAUUAUACUUUGGUUAUAAUUUGAUUACUUAUUAUUUAUAAGGUGGUUAGACUUUUGUGUGUUUGUGACAAAAUUGUCUUAGUUAAAGUUUUCGUGUCACAUUCUCUUGUUUAUCUGUAUAGGGCAUAUCAAUGGUUAUGUUGAUGAGAGUUUCAUUCGCUGGCAUGUUAACUGGCCCCUCUACGAGAAUAAUUGUGUUUUGCGCAGUGUUUAUAUAGGUGAGUUUUUCCCUUGACGUCUUACAUAUGAAUUGGUUUUUAGAUAUUUGAUUGAAUGAAUUUGCUUUUUAUGAUGCCACUAAGACAACUGUGUUGAUGCACCCGAGAGGAUUGAGCGAGCGCCCAGCCUAUAUUGUAUGCACCUUAGUCCUCUACACUCCAACAUCUCACAACCUACUCUCUCCACACCUCAC
rnacentral:lncRNA from 1 species